CCCUAGAUGUCCUGGGCUGCACGCGCGCUACACUGAUGUGUCCAGUAAGCACCUAACCUCUUCCGAAAGGAACGGGUAACCUUUGCAAAGCACAUCGUGAUGGGGAUAGAUUAUUGCAAUUAUUAGUCUUGAACGAGGAAUUCCUAGUAAGCACAAGUCAUCAGCUUGUGUUGAUUACGUCCCUGCCCUUUGUACACACCGCCCGUCGCUCCUACCGAUUGAAUGUUCCGGUGAGCUCUUCGGACUGCGCGGUCUGCAGUUUCUGCGUUCCGUGCGGAAAGUUGCGCAAACCUUAACAUUUAGAGGAAGGAGAAGUCGUAACA
rnacentral:rRNA from 1 species